GAACUCAGUAGUGAUUAGAGUUUGAUCCGCGUUCAGGAUGUACGCUGGCGAUCGCCCUAACACAUGCAAGUCUAUAGAAGUAUAGGUACUUAGUGGCGUACGGGUGAGUAACACGUGAGAACCUGCCCUCUGGAGCGAGACACCCGUUAGAAACGACGGCUAAUAAACUAUACGCCUUCGGUGCAUAGCUUUUGCGCCAGAGGAGGGGCUCGCGGUCGAUUAGCUAGUUGGUGGGUCAACGGCCUUCCAAGGCAUCGAUCGAUAGAAGGUCGGAGAGGAAGAGCAGGCACACUGGGACUGAGACACGGCCCAGACUCCUACGGGAGGCACCAGUGGGGAAUUUUCCCCAAUGGGCGCAAGCCUGACGUAGCCAGACCGCGUCCGGGAAGACGGCCCUUGGGUUGUAAUCCGCUUUUCUCAGGGAAGAAGUCAGUGACGGUACCUGAGGAAUCAGCCUCGGCUAACUCCGUGCCAGCAUCCUCGGUAAUACGGAGGAGGCAAGCGUUAUCCGGAAUUAUUGGGCGUAAAGCGUUCGCAGGCGGCUUGGCAAGUCUGCUGUCAAAGCCCGCGGCUCAACCGCGGAUCGCCAGUGGAAACUGUCAGGCUAGAGUGCGGUAGGGGUAGGGGGAAUUCCCAGUGUAGCGGUGAAAUGCGUAGAUAUUGGGAAGAACACCAGUGGCGAAAGCGCCCUACUGGGCCGCAACUGACGCUCAGGGACGAAAGCUAGGGGAGCGAAAGGGAUUAGAUACCCCUGUAGUCCUAGCCGUAAACGAUGA
rnacentral:rRNA from 1 species